rnacentral:lncRNA from 1 species
AAUUAGGGAUUGCGAAGUAAAACAAAGGAAACGGAAGGGAAGACUGUAAAGAUGGAAAAAUCAAGAUGAGAAGGUUGAAAAAGACAAGGUGCGAAGCCUGCGAAGAGAAUGUUAUGAGAAAAGAAAGGAUGACAUAUUGUAUUUCUUAUUUAAUGAUAAGGAGCAAGUACAAUUGAUAUAUAUAAUUGUUUAGAGCAAUAUAAAAAAGGAAUAUAAGGAUAAAAAUAUAUGAACAUAAAUGCACAGAUAUGAACAGAGAAUAAAAUAAUUUCAAUAUCCCCAUCAAGCUGCAGCAUAUAUAUCCUUAAUGCUCAGCUUGGACAACAAAGAUUGAAAUUGUGCUGGAUGCAAAGCUUUAGUAUGAAUGUUUGCAAAUUGUGAUGAAGUAGAAAUAGGCAGGAGCU